CAGCUCUGCCCCAUUCGGGCCGGUUCCUGAUCGCAUACAUGGUGUUCAUCCCAGCUCCUUUCUCCAGGAGCGUGUUCCCUAGGUUACGGAGUCAGCAUCAUUAUCCAAAUAGACAUCUGCUCUGCUUUCUUGUUCGUAAUGAUAAUGACUAGCGGGGGUCACAAAGGAUAGGCUUAACACAAAGCAUCCAAGUGGAAAAUUUGAGAAAAGGGGAAGGUUUAGAAAAAGUGCAACUGUGCUUUCCUAGUCACUUAAAAACAAACAACAACAAAACUAACAAACAAGUCAAUGGGGGGGUGGGGAAGACUGUCUUACAUUAGUCAUUCCGUUUCAUUAGAAUGUUCAAGGCUCCAGCUCUAGGAUUUAGAGUUCACGUAUUACAAAGCAUUGCUGGAUUAGAAGAGGAGUUAAAUAUCUGAACCGUGGACUGCUGAGGGCUCUUCAAAGCUUGCAUUGAGUCUGGGGAUUCAGUCUUAGUGGAUAACCUCUGGGCAGAUGUGGUCCGCUAGUGGCCUGUUUCUUCUGCUGGAAGUCUGAGGAGCAGGGCUUUCUAGGCCAAUGCUGGGUCUUCAGUUCUGCAUACUGGAAGGGUAGCAUGCAUGAAUGGAGUCCAGAAGUUCUGGGCUGCAACUCACCAUGGAUCUGGCACAAACCAAGAGCUGGCCUUUCCGAAGUCAGUAUCGAGACUCCCCAGCAGGAGAGUCCUGUGAUAUGAGGUCUGAGUACACACUGAACUGUCCAAGGAGACCAAGAAUUGGAUCAUCUGAGGGGGAUGGAAGUGUCUCUAGGAACAGCCCCACAUUUCCUGUUGUGUCCAGCAAGCUCCAAGCGUUCCAUACUUUGGUGAGUAUUGGAGCUGUAUUAAACUCCAGGACAGCAACUGAGGUUCAGAGUCCACUUCUGGGUACUGCCCCUGCACCCCUCUUCUCUGAGAGGUGAGAUAAUUCACUCUUGUGAACUCCAUUUUCAGAUAAAGGGAGUACAUGUGCGAGCCUGCGUGCUCUGUACAGGGGAUAAAGAAGCCCCACGGCAAACCCAGCUUGGUGAGCUCGCACGGCAAAGCUCAGAGUGGGCUGGGGGGCUGCGGCUCUCUUCCUCAGUUCCCUCAUUCCGAUAUAAAGCUGGAUGGGUCCUUGCAUCAGAGGAGGCAGGAGUUCAUUGGCUUUUCCUUCACGUUCCUUUUGGAGGAACACUUGACUUUCCUUCAUUUUUUUUUUCUGAAUCCCCGUUGCCUCGUCCGGGCUUUGUUUUCUAAGGUUAUAAUUUCUUGGAUGAGACAAAUGUCUUCAUUUUGUACAUUGUGGUUGGUUGACACUGAAUGGAAACGGGAGUGUAAAUCACCUCUUCCAAUUACGGGGCCGAAGACCAGGAAGUGCUUUGUAGUCAUUAAGUGCUCUACCAAUUUUUAAGGAUAAUGCAUUUUUCAUGUCAGUUUUAUACCCCAAAUUUAUGUCAGUUAGCUACAAAUAUGCUUCGCUUUGAAAUUCUCCGAGGCUUUCCCAGACUUGAUGAGAACUCAGAAACUGUAAUGAAAGUCCAAAAUGCCUUCGUACAGCUUCCUUAACUCUGUAUUUCUGGCUUCCUCCGGAUGCAGGUCUGUUGACGACAUCUGCGUCCACCAUGUCUACCAGCGGAGGUAGUACACUGGUUAGACACUAUUUUGCUAUAGGCAGUAAAAGAACUCGCGACUGUCUUAAAUAAAUUAGAGUUGUUUUUUCUCGAAUCGUCAGAAGUCUGGAGGUUUUAAUAGUUUUCUGGUUGGCUCAUUAGCUCAGUAUUGCCGGGGCUGGUGUCUCUACGAUUCCCUUAGCUCCUCCCUCCUCGUUGCAAGAUGGCUUCUGCCGCACAACGUAAACAUCAGAACGGCUCUUUGAAAGGAGAAGGGGAUGACUGUGGGUUUUUGCUUUUAAUAUUUAUCUGCUCAUUCUGUGUGUCUGUGUAGGCAUGCGUACGCCACGGUGAGCAUGUGGAGGUCACAGGACGACUUCCCCGGGGUUGACUCUCUCCUGCUGCUUCGUGAGUUUGAGAGAAUAAACUCAGGUUGCCACACUUGAUGGCAAGCAUCCUCGUCCGCUGAAGCAUCUUGCCGGGCCAGGCGUGCUAGUCUUAAGAGAGGAUCCUAGACUUCCUUCCGUGGAGAAGUGGGAUUUAUAUCCCUACCCCUUCAACUCUGAGUGGGUUUAUAUGACUGCUUCAACAGAUAGAACAUGACAGAAGUAAACCCCAUGUGACUCCCCAGGCUAGAUGGUGAAAUAACCGAGAAUCUUCUGGAAUGUUCUUAUGAUGCACAUGCUAUCUGGGUGCUCCCACUAAAAAGUCUUCUCUUGGGAUUUUCCUUUCAGAGCCCACACCACCACCCACUAGAAGGAUGGAGAGGCUUCUUUCUAAAAGAGUCUUUAAAAAUGGGAGACAUCUGCCGAGUUCAGGAACGUGAGUCAGCACUGUGCAUAAUGGCUGUGUAUUAAGAGCUCAGCAGAGUCCUGCUGACCACAUGGUGCCCUGCAAGACGGCGUUCUGAGCUUUGUAUUUACUCUCAGACUGUACAUGUUGUUUCAAUCAGUCAGAGAGGCUCAGCUCUGCUCCAGGAGGCAGGAUUCUAUUUUCCAGAGGACAGCUGGGCCUUCUCAGAGAGCAUACAGACAAAGUCACCCACUCUUUUCUUCUGCCCUUUGUGACAUAAGAAUGGGCUGGCCGUCUCAUGCUUUCUCACGGCCGAGAGUCCAUCUUGUAACUUCCAGGCAUCUAGAUGUCUAGAAUGUCUUUCGUGUGUGUGUGUGUGUGUGUGUGUGUGUGUGUGUGUGUGUGUGUGUGUUGGCAAUGCCCUUCUUUUUUUCCCUUUUGAAAGAUAUUGUUCUCUUUCAAAAAUAUCAUUAGCCCUCCUCCUGGUAGCUACUGGUCAUUUAAUUUCUCCCUUCAUUUUGAUUCCAUUCCCCCCCCCCCCCCCCCCCCCUGUAAAAAGCAUGGUAGAAAAAGCUUGCUGCUGCACCCACCGCAUGCCGUGUUUUAGCAUGCUCUUAUUUCCUAGUGCCCAGACUGCCUUGAAUAUGAGAAGACGCAAAUCUGCUCCGUGCGAGUGGAUGAACAGCUGCCUGGUGGAGGUUUACAUGGAAGAUGUGAGCCCCAGUUAAAGAAUGAAGGAUCUUCUCUCUACGUUCUUCCUGUGUCCUAUGUGGGAGUUGCCAGACAGGGUUGCCAGUGGCUUGACUCUAGGCUCCUGGGAUCCUAAGCUUCCUAGUUAAGCAUCCUGAGACGCUUUCAGGAGCAUACAGGAAGAAGCCCUGGAGCCUGGCAGGAAAGCAAGUCCAUUCCUUCAUUAGAGCAUUAGAGCCUGCUUCUUCAGGGUUCCGGUGUGUACUGAGGACCAGCUGAGACAUCCAGCCUUGGGGACUGACCAACUACUGAAUUCUUGAACCUUCUGUUCACAGGCAGCCAUCGUGGAUUAGCUGGACCUCAGCCUAGGAUAGCCAACAUUUACCUUCCCUCGCUACCUGAUCGUGUUCCUGAAUCUACAAGGCAGAAGGUUGACAUGUUGACUUGAAGACCAAUGAAUCAACAAGGAGAUUACUGAAUGAAUGAAUCUAUAAAGUGAAAAGUGAAAUAGAGGGUUUUGUCAGCAUGAUCCAAGCAGCAGACGGAUGGGAUUCAAAGGGAUGGCAUUGAGGCCUGACUGCACAUUUUUCUUUUCUGAGUAUUAAUAAUUGAGAGUCCCUUAAUCAGCAAGUCCCCCCUCCAAGAAUCAUCAGAGGAAGAAAAUCUUUAGCUGAUGCAAUGGCUUUGCAGGUACCUAUGCAUUAUUUGCUGUGUGCCAGCUCCUGCUCUACAGGCCUUGAGUGAGGAAUCCUGUGUCAAGACAGACCCUCCCCAGAGUGUUGGCGGUCCAAGGUGGUCCAAGCUAAGCCCGCAUCACCGGGAGAUACACACUGAAAGCAGGUAACCGUCAGAAGUGGAGUCGGCUCUGUUCUUCUAUGCACAUCUUCUUUGCUGAUUCUUGGUCUCAGCCCACUGGCGACAUUAUCUUGAGUCCUGGGAAACCCUUGUCAUGCUCUGUCAUAGGAACAGGGGAGAGAUGGAGAGAAAUAAAGAGAGAAUGGAGAUGGGAAAAUUAAUCACAAAUGUUGGCCAAGUGUCUCCAGGUGGGUUCCAAUCCUUUGAGCUUAGGAGACACAAGGAAGGUGAAUAUUGGAUUUCCUUUGGUGUCAUUUUUAGAAAAAUCAAACAAACUCAUUUCGGUGACACUGAGAGUUCUUUCUGUGUGGAAGGCAGAGGGGAAACAGUGUGAGGACCAUCCAUGGGUGGACUUAGGGUUUUGCCUAUCUCCGCCUACAUCUGACCCACACGUUUGGCAACAUUUAUGAGUCAGAAUGUUAGGAAAGUUUUCAGGCACUCAAUUUUUCUCUGCCUUUGGCUAAGUCUGUGAGUUGCCAUGAGGAGGGAAACAAACAAAUGCAACCCUCUUGCCUUUCCACCCCCACACGCCGCCACUCCCUGCCGGGCCAGCGAGCCGGCCCAAUGACAAGGACCCUUUGCCCUUGACUUCCUUCCUCUCUGCUGCCCACUCGGCUUGGCAGUCAUGUUGACCUCAGUGCUGUGUCAUCAUGGCAAGGAAGCCUGGGAGAUGGCACCCUGGGCCCUGGAUUCUUGUGCUUGUCCUGGGUCUCAGGAGUCUGAGACCAAACCAGACGUGGCCUUUGUGGGGAAAUGAAGGAGUCUGGCAACGCAUACACUGAUGAGCUGACGUGCUCCUCUGACAGGCUGUUCUGGUAACUGGACUUCAGCUCUGACCUGUCAUCCAGCUGGGUGAUGGACUUGUCACCUUGGACUUCUGUCCCCACCCUGAAUUUCUCUUUGUUCAGACUUUGGUCAUUUCUCUGAACUUUCCCCCCCGUAGCUAGACUGAAUCUACAGAAAUCCCUAUUUUGACCAUUAGUUGCCUACCUCCUAUCACUUUGUUUUUUACCUUCUCCUUGGUGCUCGUCUGUUUGUCCGUCCAGCUCCUGCUUCCCAGAGGCCAACUCUCCCAAGACUGACCUAUGGGAUCUAUCCCAGUUGCUUAGCAAGUAUAUCCUAAUUCCAAUGAAGAUUCUCCAACAUGAAAACACAACGUAACAAGCAGCCAGGCAUGGUGAUGAACCCCUUUAGUCUCAGCACCUGGGAGGCAGAG